rnacentral:rRNA from 1 species
GCCAGCAGCCAUAUCAUCCUGCAACUCACAACUGGCAACCCAUUGAAGCUAAGCAGGUGUAAGCCUGGUCAGUACCUGGAUGGGAGACCAACUAAGGUUGCUGCUGGAA